rnacentral:rRNA from 1 species
AGAACGAACGCUGGCGGCGUGGAUAAGACAUGCAAGUCGAACGCGACUUAUCGUGUUAGCAAUAACAUGGUAAGUUGAGUGGCGAAAGGGUGCGUAACACGUGGGAAUUUACCAAGAAGUGGGGAAUAGCUCGACGAAAGUCGAAUUAAUACCGCAUACGAUCGCAAGAUCAAAGCCGGGGACCGCAAGGCCUGGCGCUUUUUGAGAAGCCCGCGGCCCAUCAGCUAGUUGGCGGGGUAACGGCCCACCAAGGCUAUGACGGGUAGCUGGUCUGAGAGGACGACCAGCCACACUGGAACUGAGACACGGUCCAGACACCUACGGGUGGCAGCAGUCGAGAAUUUUUUCACAAUGGACGAAAGUCUGAUGGAGCGACGCCGCGUGGAGGAUGAAGGUUUUCGGAUUGUAAACUCCUGUCACUGCAGAACAAGGAUGCGUAUAUGAAUAGUAGAUGCAUUUGAUGGUAUGCGGAGAGGGAAGGGACGGCUAACGU